GGGCGGCCUCGCCGAACGGCAGCAGCUUGUCGUCGGCCGACACCGGCGUGUGGUCCGACACGAGCGCGUCGAUCGUGCCGUCGGCCAGCCCC
rnacentral:tRNA from 1 species